GUAGGGUGCGAGCGUUAAUCGGAAUUACUGGGCGUAAAGCGUGCGCAGGCGGUCUUGUAAGACAGUUGUGAAAUCCCCGGGCUCAACCUGGGAACUGCAUCUGUGACUGCAAGGCUGGAGUGCGGCAGAGGGGGAUGGAAUUCCGCGUGUAGCAGUGAAAUGCGUAGAUAUGCGGAGGAACACCGAUGGCGAAGGCAAUCCCCUGGGCCUGCACUGACGCUCAUGCACGAAAGCGUGGGGAGCAAACAGGAUUAGAUACCCUGGUAGUCCACGCCCUAAACGAUGUCAACUGGUUGUUGGGUCUUUACUGACUCAGUAACGAAGCUAACGCGUGAAGUUGACCGCCUGGGGAGUACGGCCGCAAGGUUGAA
rnacentral:rRNA from 1 species